AACGAACGCUGGCGGCAGGCCUAACACAUGCGAGUCGAGCGCACCCUUCGGGGCGAGCGGCGGACGGGUUAGUAACGCGUGGGAACAUACCCUUUGGUACGGAAUAGCCUCGGGAAACUGAGAGUAAUACCGUAUGUGCCCUUCGGGGGAAAGAUUUAUCGCCAAAGGAUUGGCCCGCGUUAGAUUAGAUAGUUGGUGGGGUAAUGGCCUACCAAGUCUACGAUCUAUAGCUGGUUUUAGAGGAUGAUCAGCAACACUGGGACUGAGACACGGCCCAGACUCCUACGGGAGGCAGCAGUGGGGAAUCUUAGACAAUGGGCGCAAGCCUGAUCUAGCCAUGCCGCGUGUGUGAUGAAGGCCUUAGGGUCGUAAAGCACUUUCGCCAGAGAUGAUAAUGACAGUAUCUGGUAAAGAAACCCCGGCUAACUCCGUGCCAGCAGCCGCGGUAAUACGGAGGGGGUUAGCGUUGUUCGGAAUUACUGGGCGUAAAGCGCACGUAGGCGGAUUAGUAAGUUAGAGGUGAAAUCCCAGGGCUCAACCCUGGAACUGCCUUUAAUACUGCUAGUCUUGAGUUCGAGAGAGGUAAGUGGAAUUCCGAGUGUAGAGGUGAAAUUCGUA
rnacentral:rRNA from 1 species